UGUGGUUGGAAGCUUGAAGCUCCCCUACAACGUGAACUGUUGCUUCAGAGUCUGCCUGAUUCCACUAAUUCUAGGGAUCCUCCCAUAGCAAGUACCCCAGCCUUCAUUGCUCUGGAGCCGGGGAAGGGGGAUAUGCUUCCUUCAUGCGUGGAUUCUGGAACCAGUGCCGUGCAGCAUGCCUCAGGAGAGGCACAACGUGUGCAGCGCUGGCUACAAAGAUGUUGCACGUGACUGGAAGUGAAACCAAAUGUGGAAGAUGAAGAGGAGUGUCGAAAAUCACAGAGUAUCUGCAACUCCAAUGCUACCAGCAGUCAGUAUAAACUGGAUGUGUCCUGGCGUUCUCUGCAAUUGGAAAGGAGAAGGGAAAACCAGCUGCAGCCUACAGACUGCCGCAGCAUUCCAGGCAGUCUGCCAGCAUGGCCUGGCUGGCUGUGAUCCAUGAGGUCACAAAGGCAUUAAUCAAAGUCUGAGCAGUGGUUGUGUCCAAAAAAAGGUGGUUUCAUAUAAGAUGUUAAGGCCAAAGAAAGUGACUUGUUUUGUCUUAAGGAAAAGUCACGGUAGCAGAGCAGAAAUGAGCCACAAAUGAAGAUGGGGGAAUAAGGUUGCUAUAACCAGCUGGAAACAAGUGGUAGCUGUAAAACAGAUGACCAUUGACCAUUGUAAAACAGACAACUGGUCAUCUAUCAGUCAGCUUUUGUUGACUGACAGAGCUUUAGCAAAAUUACUUAAUUCUUCUUGGUCUAUUGAAGAAGUAGAUGUCAUUGAGUUCAUAGCCUGCCGGGGCAGUGGGCCCCAAAACUCAAGGGAACUUUACAGUCAGAAGCAGCAGCAUCUUAAAUACACCAGGGAAAUUAGGAUUGUGGCAGUGUCCAGACAUCCCAGAAGGAGAACAUGGUGUAUGAACCCCCAAAGAAUAAGCUACAGAAUCAAUUGUGUACAAUAAUAUUGUACACCAAAAGUGUAUUGAGUAAGGUAUCCUACUAAGGCUGGUGACAUGCUGAUCACGAAUAUCAUUGUCAUGUACGUGUAAGUUUGUAUGUAUAACAAAUUAGGUAUGUGUGCUGGAAAGAAGUUGUUAAAAUGAUUCAUGCACUGCCUCCAAAAUGCUAGUCUGCCCUAGACAAAGGAUUUACAUGUCUGAUGGGCUUGAUAACAGGUAGAGUAAGUUAAACAAAGCAAUCCAGCUAACAAGUGACAGAGGAAACAAUGUAAUAAGCACCCAGGGGAGAGAGGCUCUGCACCCUCAGGAAGUCUUCCUGACUCUUGAUAUAAAGAUAAUGGACUUGGUUUUUUUGCUCCCUCUUAUCUUCUCCAUCCCUUCUGGG